AUUGAACGCUGGCGGCAUGCUUUACACAUGCAAGUCGAACGGCAGCGCGGGCUUCGGCCUGGCGGCGAGUGGCGAACGGGUGAGUAAUGCAUCGGAACGUGCCCAGUAGUGGGGGAUAGCCCGGCGAAAGCCGGAUUAAUACCGCAUACGACCUGAGGGGGAAAGCGGGGGACCGAAAGGCCUCGCGCUAUUGGAGCGGCCGAUGUCGGAUUAGCUAGUUGGUGGGGUAAAGGCUUACCAAGGCGACGAUCCGUAGCUGGUCUGAGAGGACGAUCAGUCACACUGGGACUGAGACACGGCCCAGACUCCUACGGGAGGCAGCAGUGGGGAAUUUUGGACAAUGGGGGCAACCCUGAUCCAGCCAUGCCGCGUGCGGGAAGAAGGCCUUCGGGUUGUAAAGCGCUUUUGUUCGGGAAGAAAUGCUGUGGGCUAAUACCCCGGGGGGAUGACGGUACCGGAAGAAUAAGCACCGGCUAACUACGUG
rnacentral:rRNA from 1 species